UGAUGACAUCCUAUAGGCAAGGACAGUGGAGGUAUUAGCUGAUUAGUAAACAGAAACUGAGGAUAGGACUGAAAAGGAGUAUCUCCUGUUCGGAAACCUUCAGUGGCAGCAGGAAGUGAAAUUGAAGUCUCUAGAUCUUCUACUAGCAAUGAAGGAAGAUCAGUUUACUGUCCAGCACCACAACCAAAAUUACACCAACAGAAAGCCAAAUCAAGGUCUAGAGAAAGAUUAAGAUCUCUUGAUAGGUCAGGGUCUCUGAAGAGGUCAAAGUCUAUGGAGAGAUCACAGUCUAGACAAAGGUCAGGAUCAAGGUCAUGGUUUUGUCAAAGAUGAGACAGGUACUGAUCAAGAUAAGAAUUCUUUUCCCCAAGACCACUAAGGAGGCUACCAUUACCCACUGGCUGGAGUAUAAGAAUAGAGGCUACCAAAAAGAUCAAGAGGGUCACAGUUUUAGUGUUUAUUGAUAGCUAUUUUUAGUAACACUAAACUUUUAAUGGACACAAUUUCUAAAAAAAACUAUGAGUUGAUUGUUGCAAUUUGGCAUGGUGAAAUGUGUAUGGGUGAAGUGAGCACUGAUAAAAUAUAGUGAUCAGAAGUUUAUUCAUUUUAUAUAGAUAUUGAUGAUUGAUUCAGCUGUUGUUAUAUAUCAAACUUUGGUGAUCAGAAGUUAAAUCUUUUGGAAGAUAUCGAUAAAUGAAUCCACUAUGAUAUCACAAUAUAACUUAGUUUCUUAGGAGUUCAGUUACAAUGUUGUCAUCUACUAGGCUACAUGAGACAGGAUCCGAUUCCCAGUUUGGUGAUAAAUAUAGAGUCCAUGUGUAUUCAUUACUGUUGAUCUUAGAUUAUAGCACAUGUAUCUUUAAAGCAUGUGUAAUUGUUUAUAUAAACUUCCAAGUCUAAUAAAAAUGCAUUUGUAUGUAUAAUUGUAUGAUAAAAAGUGUGAUUGACAAAUAAAUGAAUGAUUGAUUUGAAUAUUGUAGCUCUACCUUUAAGAAAAGUGUAUACAUUGUGUUUGAAUGAUCAUAUUGUAUA